rnacentral:rRNA from 1 species
UACGAAGGGGGCUAGCGUUGUUCGGAAUUACUGGGCGUAAAGCGCGUGUAGGCGGGCCGUUAAGUCGGGGGUGAAAGCCCAGAGCUCAACUCUGGAACUGCCUUCGAUAGUGGCGGCCUGGAGCAUGAUAGAGGCGAGCGGAAUUGCGAGUGUAGAGGUGAAAUUCGUAGAUAUUCGCAGGAACACCAGUGGCGAAGGCGACUCGCUGGAUCAUUGCUGACCCCGAGACGCGAAAGCGUGUGGAGCAAACACG